CACAAUCAUCAAUAUCAACACAAACAACAAUUGUGUUCAUUCAUUCUUUCAGCAAUUUAGGCUGGGUGCAGUGGCUCAUGCCUGUAAUCUCAGCACUUUGGGAGGCUGAAGUGGGCAGAUUGCCUGAGCUCAGAAGUUCGAGACCAGCCUGGGCAAUAUAGGGAGACCCCAUCUCUGUGAAAAUAAAAAUACACAAAUUAACCAGGCAUGGUGGUGCAUGCCUGUAGUCCCAGCUACUCUGGAGGCUGAAGUGGGAGCAUCACUAGAGCCUACGAGGUCAAGGCUGCAGUGAGCUAUGAUUGCAUCAAGGCACUCCAGCCUGGGUGACAGAGUGAGACCCUGUCUCAGAAUGAAAUAAAAUAAAAUAAAUAAUAAAAUAUAAUACAAUUCAACAGCUUAAAAUUUAAGAGCUAGUAAAAUUUUGUAAAAUCUGGCAAGCUAGCAACUAGGGGAAGCCACAGGAUUCAGUCUGUCCAUGAAAACUGUACUUGCUGAAAAAGGCUUUGAAGAAUUUUAAUCACGGAAGUGACAUGAUUCUAUUUAUUAUUUUUUGGGGUUAGUGGUAUCUGAGUGCUUUCUGGGGCACACCUUUCAAUGCUCUGCUGCAUCCACUAGGCAUAGAUUGCUGCAUGCAUUAUAUGGACAAAAUGCAUUUAAAAGUUUCUUUAAUAUUUUGUGACAUUAAAAGUUGAUGUCAUUUGGCUGUGUCCCCACCCAAAUCUCAUCUUGACGUUUUUUAAGCCCGUCGGAAAAGCGCAGUAUUUGGGUGGGAGUGACCCGAUUUUCCAGGUGCCGUCUGUCACCCCUUUCUUUGACUAGGAAAGGGAACUCUCUGAACCCUUGCACUUCCUGAGUGAGGCAAUGCCUCGCCCUGCUUCAGCUCGCGCACGGUGCACGCACCCACUGACCUGCGCCCACUGUCUGGCACACCCUAGUGAGAUGAACCGGGUACCUCAGAUGGAAAUGCAGAAAUCACCCGUCUUCUGCAUCUCUCACGCUGAGAGCUGUAGACCGCAGCUGUUCCUAUUCGGCCAUCUUGGUUCCUCCUGACUUCAUUUCUUCUUUGCCUUCUUCCAUGAUUGUGAGGCGUCUCCAGCCAUGUGGAACUGUGAGUCCGUUAAAUUUCUUUCUUUUGUAAAUUACCCAGCCACUGGUAUGUCUUUAUUAGCAGCAUGAGAACAGAGUAAUAGAAAAAUAUACUUUAAUCAUACAACAG
rnacentral:lncRNA from 1 species